CUCCGAAGAGACAAAGUUUUGAAAAAAGUGAAGGCAACCUGUUUUACACAGGAGUUCUCUAACAGACACUGAAACACAGGCAGAUGUGGGAUUUUACUCUGUCUCACUGAGCAGGACUUCAUGAGCAGUUCAACAUGCAGAGCAAGCGCCUGUCUGAUUGAAGAAGUGCUCAAAAGAUCCUCUGCAGGUGUUGCUGAAAAGUUCUGGCAAUCAGCAUAAACACCAGCAGUGUAGGACUCCCCCGUCAUCAGGCUACGCAUUGACUUCAGCAGCUGGCAGCACCAUUUCUGAAAAACAGAGGCGCUUCAGAUGCUAAAGAGGCUGCUGUUUCAAGAGAAGGCAAACAUUUAGCUAAAAACCCCACAUGCCCAAUAUGAACCCUUAAAUGAUGUGAGCCCACCAUUAAAUCUGUUCAACACAAUCUGGAAAAGAAAUGAUCGAGUGUUCUGCAGAACCAGUACAUUAUUUUAGUCUGUUUAACAUGCUCCUCCUCCAUCAGAUACAUAACGAUUCAUUGGUGAACUGAAAGACAGGCACUGCUUUCAGAGUGUAAAACAUUUUUUAAAAAACUUUUUUGUAGCUGGCACCAACAUAAAAGGAUCUUUUCAAGCAAUUGUUCACCUUAAAAUCAGAUUUAUUGGGCUUUCAGUUCUGGACAUUCCCUGGGGUAAUCCAGCAAACCACUUUAGUUUCACUUUGUCUGUUAUGGUCUUUUAUUUUCUUGUAUUUCUAUGUUAGCUUUAUCGUUUUCUCCCUACACUGUUUUGGGCUGAAUCUGGUACAUUAUAUGGGUAGGCUCCAUUGUUAAGAUGGGCGAAGUGAACUUUAACUUCCUUUGCAUGAGGUGUCACUGGACAGUUGUUUCAAAUACUGUUUAAGCUGUCAGUCCAAAAUGUAAUCCAGCUACAACAGGACACAAGUUAGUAUCAGGUUUAAAGUUCUUUGCAGACUUUUUGUCCUUGGAUGUGCAGCUUGUUACCUGUGGCUCUUUAAUGUGCAGUGAUGUGCCUUGCUGCUUUUCAUAAUGUCUGAAACAAAACAAAAACACACACACACUAAACAAAACCCAAAAAGACAUAAAAACAAAAUUUUCCUUUUCGAUAAAGCAUAUAGUUAGGGCUCGAUCAGGUACAUUACGUGGGUUUUGCACAUUCAAUCACCUUCUCCACUCACUAUGUGUUUAUACAUCUCUCUGCAUUUAAUUAUUAGUUAUUAUUCAUCUCUGGCUCUCUUUGUCGUGUCUUCCCCCCUGACCUCUAAUAAUCGCGACAGACGGCCACUCUUCCAGGAGACAGAUUCUGCUAGAGGUUUCUUCCUGUUAAAAGGUUUUUCCUUUUUCCUUCCAAAUAAUGGGAAGUUGUCAGGGUUUUCUUUUUUUUCUUUUCUUUUCUUUUGUAUUAUUGUAGGGUCAUUACCUUAUAAUAAAAAGCGCCUUGAGGGAACUGUUGUUGUGAUGUGUCACUAUAUAAAUAAAAUUGAAAUGAAAAGCCCACAG
ensembl:lncRNA